GAGCCUUGUUCCUCCGCCUUGCUGUUGCGAAUUCACUCCAAAAAUCUCCUUAUUCUGUGUAUUUCUACUUUUUGUGAUAGAGACACUUUUGUUUGUGGAAUUUAUGAACUUUGGUGUAAUGCCGAGACGUUGUGCUUUCGGUUGUGCGCUCCUUGAGAUUCCAAUGCAUAGUUUCCCAGAUGCUGUCAAAUUCCUGAGCAGUUUAAAACUUGGGUCAGUCUUGUUGGUGGAAACCCUUAAACAUCUGAUCUUGAAUGUUAUAAGAAGAAGAGAAUUUGUGAUAUACACUUUUCUGACAGACACAGAAAUCAUAAUCAAUGGCUAAGCACAUUGGCAGUUCCGAUGCUUCAUCUGCUUGGACAACUACAGAGUAAAGUAAUCUUAGGACAAGCUUCAUCCACACAACAUUUACUGCCUACAAUAAUACAGCAAGACUGUUCAGAUCUAAUGGCUCCACAGCGCACAAAGAUCAAACAUCUUCAAGCAGAAAUAUCGCUAUUGCGAAAAAAAGGACAAUCUUUCAAAGCAAGGUUAAAAGGUGGUGCAGAUCGAUCAAUCGAAUUUUGUCAGGAAAAUUAACAUAUGUGGGUGAAGACGAAACAAAAACAGCUGCCAAACAAUAUUAUGAUAAACAUAAACAUUAUAAAAAUAAAAAAUAAUAUGCAAA